GACGAACGCUGGCGGCGUGCUUAACACAUGCAGGUCGAGCGGUAAGGCCCUUUCGGGGGUACGACGAGCGGCGAACGGGUGAGUAACACGUGGGUGACCUGCCCUCAGCUCUGGGAGUAAGCCUGGGAAACCGGGGUCUAAUACCGGAUAUGACUCCAUGACGCAUGUUGUGGGGUGGAAAGCCUUGUGCGGCUGAGGAUGGGCCCGCGGCCUAUCAGCUUGUUGGUGGGGUGAUGGCCUACCAAGGCGACGACGGGUAGCCGGCCUGAGAGGGCGACCGGCCACACUGGGACUGAGACACGGCCCAGACUCCUACGGGAGGCAGCAGUGGGGAAUCUUGCGCAAUGGGCGAAAGCCUGACGCAGCGACGCCGCGUGAGGGAUGACGGCCU
rnacentral:rRNA from 1 species